rnacentral:rRNA from 1 species
CCGCGGGUAAUACCGGCGGCUCGAGUGGUGGCCACUUUAUUGGGCUUAAAGCGUUCGUAGCUGGGUUAUUAAGCCCUUGGGAAAUCCGACAGCUUAACUGUCGGGCGUCUAAGAGAUACUGGUAAUCUUGGAACCGGGAGAGGUGAGGGGUACUUCGGGGGUAGGAGUGAAAUCCUGUAAUCCUCGAGGGACCACCUGGUGGCGAAGGCGCCUCACCAGAACGGCUUCGACAGUGAGGGACGAAAGCUGGGGGAGCAAACCGGAUUAGAUACCCGGGUAGUCCCAGCCGUAAACGAUGUGCGUUAGGUGUAUCGGUGACCACGAGUCACCGAGGUGCCGAAGGGAAACCGUGAAACGUACCGCCUGGGAAGUACGGUCGCAAGGCUGAAACUUAAGGAAUUGGCGGGGGAGCACCACAACAGGUGGAGCCUGCCGGUUUAAUUGGACUCAACGCCGGAAAUCUCACCGGAUAAGACAGCAGAAUGAUUGCCGGGCUGAAGACUCUGCAUGACUAGCUGAGUAGAGGUGCAUGG